rnacentral:rRNA from 1 species
UACGGAGGGUGCGAGCGUUGUCCGGAAUCACUGGGCGUAAAGGGCGCGUAGGCGGCCUGAUAAGUAGGGGGGUGAAAUCCUGCGGCUUAACCGCAGGGCUGCCUUCUAAACUGUCAGGCUCGAGCACAGUAGAGGCAGGUGGAAUUCCCGGUGUAGCGGUGGAAUGCGUAGAGAUCGGGAAGAACAUCAGUGGCGAAGGCGGCCUGCUGGGCUGUUGCUGACGCUGAGGCGCGACAGCGUGGGGGAGCAAACAGG